UACGGGGGGGGCAAGCGUUGUUCGGAAUUACUGGGCGUAAAGGGCUCGUAGGUGGCCAACUAAGUCAGACGUGAAAUCCCUCGGCUUAACCGGGGAACUGCGUCUGAUACUGGAUGGCUUGAGUUUGGGAGAGGGAUGCGGAAUUCCAGGUGUAGCGGUGAAAUGCGUAGAUAUCUGGAGGAACACCGGUGGCGAAGGCGGUUCUCUGGGCCUUACCUGACGCUGAGGAGCGAAAGCGUGGGGAGCGAACAGG
rnacentral:rRNA from 1 species